GGAGGGGGCGUGUCCCUGAGGCUGCAAUUUUGACAGAUUCAAGAGUUUUAGCAAAAUACAUGGCAAGAAGCUGAAGAGAGGAUAAAAAAUGAAUUUCCAAACAUGAUGGUCCAAGUAGUACAUGAAGGUUCUAUGGUUACCAUGGACUACAAUGAAAACCGUGUUAGACUAUUCACCGACUCGGAGGACAAGGUUG